rnacentral:misc_RNA from 1 species
CUGAGUGCCGGUCCCUCGUGGACCGAACCUCCCACCCUUGUCUCUUGUAUACCCUGUUGCUUUGGCGGGCCCACUGGGAAUCCCCAGUCGCCGAGGGGCACUGUGCCCCUGGGCCCGUGCCCGCCAGAGCGCCCUUGAACCCUAAUGAAGAUGGACUGUCUGAGCAUGAUUGAUAAUAAUCA